AAGAACCUAGGGGUGGAUUAAAGAAAAGAAAAAACAUGAAACGACUUUGAAUGAUGUUAAUAAUACAGUAUAAGAAAUACAUGGAUGGAUAAAAAAAGAAAAGGAAGGGUCUCAUAUACUAGAAGAUGAGAGACAAGAAGAGGUCGAAUCAGUGCAUGGAUUAGAUAAUAUUAGUGAGGAUGAUCAAGACUUCCUGAAAAACAAUACUACAUUAAC
rnacentral:lncRNA from 1 species